rnacentral:rRNA from 1 species
GAUGAACGCUGGCGGCGUGCCUAAUACAUGCAAGUCGAGCGAACAGACGAGGAGCUUGCUCCUCUGACGUUAGCGGCGGACGGGUGAGUAACACGUGGAUAACCUACCUAUAAGACUGGGAUAACUUCGGGAAACCGGAGCUAAUACCGGAUAAUAUAUUGAACCGCAUGGUUCAAUAGUGAAAGACGGUUUUGCUGUCACUUAUAGAUGGAUCCGCGCCGCAUUAGCUAGUUGGUAAGGUAACGGCGUACCAAGGCAACGAUGCGUAGCCGACCUGAGAGGGUGAUCGGCCACACUGGAACUGAGAGACGGUCCGGACUCCUACGGGAGGCAGCAGGAGGGAAUCUUCCGCAAUGGGCGAAAGCUUGACGGAGCAACGCCGCGUGAGUGAUGAAGGUCUGCGGAUCGUAAAACUCUGUUAUUAGGGAAGAACAAAUGUGUAAGUAACUAUGCACGUCUUGACGGUACCUAAUCAGAAAGCCACGGCUAACUACGUG